rnacentral:lncRNA from 1 species
CACCUGACACUAAAGCGCCAUGCCGGAAGCACUGAGUCUGAUACGUCGGAACCAGUCUCCACCGUGUGGUUUGGUCUUGAUUUCCACUGGUACUCUGGGGUCUUGGAUAAGUCUCUGGACCUCGCCUUUGUCAUUUGCGAAGUCGAUAGGUUCCAAUAGAGAUUUUCCCAGAAUCAUUCAACUAAAAAUAGAGAACUUUUUUUUUUUGAGAGGAAGGACGGGGGCGCAGUUAAAGAUGUUAAUGUUAAGUCAUCCCUUCUGUGAUUUCGGGACAUUAUCUUUGCAGGCCAUGUGAAGAUGUGCUUGCUUCCUUGUCACCUUCCGCCAUGAUUGUAAGUUUCCUGAGGCCUCCCAGGAAGCAGAAGCCUGUACAGCCCACAGAACCAUGACCUGAUGAAAUCUCUUUUCUUUAUAAAUUACCCAGUCUCAGAUCUUGCUAUGCUUGUCAUUGUGUAAGCAGCAAACUUGCAGUGACCAGUUGGAUUCCACCCCCCUGAUGUUGGUGGUGUGCUCUUGGGGAGAUGUCUUCCAGACAGGCAAAGAAGAGUGACAUCAUCAGAGCAUGGACGACCUCAAAGAUAUUCCAGCUAUGGGGACCUCACAGUAUCUGGAUGAAGACUCUUUACGCACACGUGCACAUGAGCACAUGCACACAGACACACACACACACACACACAGCUCCCAGCUCCAAUUGGUAAAAAUCAUGUUUACUAGGAAGGAGCAGAGCAUGAUGGCAGAGUAGGAUUCUCCAGUGAUUGUCCCUGAACAGAAAAAUUGAUUUGUAACAAUUACCCAUACAGGAAAAAUCUUGACAAGAGCUAAAUAAACCAGGCAGUGUUCCCCACACUAGAGAUACAGAGCUCCAGAGAGAGCCAUCCUGAUGGAACCUACUGACCAGGGGGACACAAAAGAAAAGAGGGAGGAGAUGAAAGAAGGUGAGGGUCUCUAUUGCCAGCAGAACUGGACUGUGUGUUUAACUGGAAAGCUGAUGGAGAAUGUAGUUAGGCACAGCUCUCUGGACCCUUCUAGUGAAAUAAAGAACUAGUUAAAUAAGGCAAGACAGAAGAAUGAGGCUGCCAUCUAGAUGUAGUAACAGGUAAUGUUCCAGGGCACAAGGGAGCCAAAGGAAGAGAGUUUCUUCACUUUUUAUUCUCUGCAGUCUUCAUACAUAAUAAUGAUCUCAUUCCUCUAUAUUAGUCAAGAUCUUCCCAUUAUAAGUGACGAAUUAUAACCAGAUUAAACCAAAAAGUAAAAUAAUUUAUUGACUGAUUGAUAUGGUUUGGAUUUGUGUCCCCGCCCAAAUCUCAUGUAGAAUUGUAAUCCCCAGUGCCAGUUGGAGGUGGGUCCUGGUGGGAGGUGAUGGGAUCAUGUGGGUGGUUUCUCAUGGUGUAACGCAAUCCACCUUGGUGCUGUCGUCACGAUGGUGAGUCCUCAUGAGAUCUGGUUGUUUCAAGGUGUGUGGCACCUCACCUCUCUCUCUCUCUUCUCCUGCUCCCACCACGUGAGGCACCUCUCUCCCCCUUUGCCUUUUGCCAUGAUUGGAAACUUCCUGAGGCCUCCCCAGAAGCAGAAGCCCCUAUGCUUCCUGCACAGCCUGCAGAACGAGGAAACAAAAGGAGGGUGUUAGAGGAAAAAGAGGGAAACCCACUGACAGAGAGGAAGGCUGAAGAGAUCCCACCGCUGACUUGGACUAAGGAGAGAGAAGUCAAAGAGUGGUUACCUGGAUGAGGUGGCUGAAUAUGGGCCUGCUCUUGUCACUUUGGAUGUCACAACUAGCCUUGAGAAGAGCUGCUGUUCCAGGAGUCUGUCACAACUAGCCUUGAGAAGAGCUGCUGUUCCAGGAGUCUGUAGCCAAGGACGUACAGCAGUGGAGGCUGACUCAUCGCAUAGCUGAGUGACCAAUUGCUUGGCAUGAGUUUACUUUAAUGGCUGUUUCUGAGUUUGAUCCCUCUCCGGAACCAACCCCUCUGAUGUGUCCUGUUCCAGCAGGAAGAGACAGACCUGGAGGUUCUGUACUUGUGAUUUCUGGUUGUGGAUCCUGAGAACAAGAAGUACUGGGAUCCUAAAGUUCUGACAUUUGCAAAGCAGAUUAAUGACCUACCACAUUCCAGAUCAUUUGGUGAUUUUGUGUGUGCGUGUGGGUGUGUGUGUGUGUGUGCCAAAUUCAAGGUGGUCCCAGCCUUUCUAGUCUUCUCUAACCUUUCUUCUCAGAAGUCGCACCUGUUCUGUCUUUCUAGGAUAUAAUUUUUUUUCUAUUAGCCUGGGUAACACCCCAACCAAUAAAGUUUGCAAUAUCCAAGC